UACGUAGGGUGCGAGCGUUGUCCGGAUUUAUUGGGCGUAAAGGGCUCGUAGGCGGCUUGUCGCGUCGGGAGUGAAAGCCCGCUGCUUAACGGCGGGUUUGCUUUCGAUACGGGCAGACUGGAGUUCGGCAGGGGAGACUGGAAUUCCUGGUGUAGCGGUGAAAUGCGCAGAUAUCAGGAGGAACACCGGUGGCGAAGGCGGGUCUCUGGGCCGAUACUGACGCUGAGGAGCGAAAGCGUGGGGAGCGAACAGG
rnacentral:rRNA from 1 species